rnacentral:rRNA from 1 species
AGAUAAUAGAUACCCGGGUAGCCCACGCCGUAAACUAUGGAUGCUAGCUGUUAGAGGUAUCGACCCCUCUAGUAGCGAAAGCUAACGCGUUAAGCAUCCCGCCUGUGGAGUACGGUCGCAAGACUAAAACAUAAAGGAAUUGACGGGGACCCGCACAAGCGGUGGAGCGUGUUGUUUAAUUCGAUGGUAAGCGAAGAACCUUACCCAGGCUUGACAUCCUUGGAAUUUUGGCGAAAGCCGAGAGUGCCUUCGGGAACCAAGUGACAGGUGUUGCAUGGCCGUCGUCAGCUCGUGUCGUGAGAUGUUUGGUUAAGUCCAUCAACGAGCGCAACCCUUAUAGUUAGUUGAAUUUUUCUAGCUAGACUGCCCUGGCAACAGGGAGGAAGGAGGGGAUGAUGUCAGGUCAGUAUUACCCUUACGUCUGGGGCUACAAACACGCUACAAUGGCCGGUACAAAGGGCAGCCAAGUCGCGAGACGGAGCAAAUCCCAUCAAAGCCGGUCUAAGUUCGGAUAGCAGGCUGAAACUCGCCUGCUUGAAGCUGGAA